UUAUGGCCAUAUCACUCUUAAACACUGUUUCCUGUACUAUCACCGAAGUUAAACAGCGUCGACCGUGGUCAGUACCUAAAUGAGAGACCGCUUGGGAAAAUCAGGUGCUGUAGG